UUCGAAUAAUUUUCUAUCUUUAGAAGAGGCAACAAAAUCCACUAUCGGAACAUUAUUUGGUAAUUUUCUUCUCGCUAUCUUUUGAUAAUACAUUGGAUACUUUUAUUUUGUUGUAUUUAAAUUUCACAUUAAUUCCUUUUAAUAGUUACUUUGUAAGUUAUGUGUGAUUUCUCUUUAUACUUUUCACAGAUAUAAUCUGCAUACCGAUAAAAGCAAAGGGACCAUCAAUGUACAUUAAUUCUUUUUAAUAGUUACUUUGUAACUUACGUGAGAUUUCUCUUUAUGCUUUUCACAGACGUAAUCUGCAUAUCUAUAAAAGCAAAGGGACCAUCUUUGGUAGGAGAAAAAAAGAGGCUCGAAAUAAUAGUUACAGAUGAAAUGUAAGUAAAAAGUAGUUAAGCUAUUUAAUUUUUGUAUUAAGAAACUACAACAGAUAAUAUAUUUAGUUAUUUCUUGCACAACUAAUACAUAUUUUAAUUAUAAAAUUUAGGCAUGAUCGUAAAACUAUAACCAUGUGGGGUGAGUAGAUGACAAAGAUGGUGAAAUUCUACAACAAUUGAUAGAUGAGAAACCCGUCGUAGCAUUUUGUGAUGUGAAAGGGUCGAUUUUUCAAGGUAUUAUAUAAGAAGUUUUUAUAAGCACAAUUAAUUUUUUAUCAAUUAAAUUUAUACUAAGCUUUAUUUGUCUUUUUUAAGGGGAUUUUGGUAUAUUUACGACUCAUUUUAGUAGUAUGUUGAUCCACAGACAUUUCAAAGAGCAAAAGAGAUAUUGGUAAGAUAUGACAUUAUUUGUUG
rnacentral:lncRNA from 1 species